CGGCGGACGGGUGAGUAACACGUGGGUAACCUACCUAUAAGACUGGGAUAACUUCGGGAAACCGGAGCUAAUACCGGAUAACAUUUGGAACCGCAUGGUUCUAAAGUGAAAGAUGGUUUUGCUAUCACUUAUAGAUGGACCCGCGCCGUAUUAGCUAGUUGGUAAGGUAACGGCUUACCAAGGCGACGAUACGUAGCCGACCUGAGAGGGUGAUCGGCCACACUGGAACUGAGACACGGUCCAGACUCCUACGGGAGGCAGCAGUAGGGAAUCUUCCGCAAUGGGCGAAAGCCUGACGGAGCAACGCCGCGUGAGUGAUGAAGGGUUUCGGCUCGUAAAACUCUGUUAUUAGGGAAGAACAAAUGUGUAAGUAACUGUGCACGUCUUGACGGUACCUAAUCAGAAAGCCACGGCUAACUACGUGCCAGCAGCCGCGGUAAUACGUAGGUGGCAAGCGUUAUCCGGAAUUAUUGGGCGUAAAGCGCGCGUAGGCGGUUUCUUAAGUCUGAUGUGAAAGCCCACGGCUCAACCGUGGAGGGUCAUUGGAAACUGGGAAACUUGAGUGCAGAAGAGGAAAGUGGAAUUCCAUGUGUAGCGGUGAAAUGCGCAGAGAUAUGGAGGAACACCAGUGGCGAAGGCGACUUUCUGGUCUGUAACUGACGCUGAUGUGCGAAAGCGUGGGGAUCAAACAGGAUUAGAUACCCUGGUAGUCCACGCCGUAAACGAUGAGUGCUAAGUGUUAGGGGGUU
rnacentral:rRNA from 1 species